CCAAAAAAAACUGCCCGAAGGCCGGGGCGCCAAGUUCGUCCAGCGGAAGAAGGCCACAAAAACGGGUGGGCUAUAGCCUUGGGGGGUGAGGCUGGCCUACUACGUCCGCCGGACUCGGAAUGCCGCGAGACUUUGCGAGGGGCCUCCGUGUGCCAAAAAUAGGCCGCGGACAAAGCCUUGCCCAAAAAUAACCGCCCGAAGGCCGGGGCGCCAAGUUCGUCCAGCGGUAAAAGGCCACAAAAAAGGGUGGGCUAUAGCCUUGGGGGUGGGGCUGGCCAACCUUGUCCGCCAGACUCGAAAUGCCGCGAGACAUUGCGAGGGGCCUCCGUGUGCCAAAAAUAGGCCGCGGGCAAAGCCUCGCCCAAAAAUAACCGCCCGAAGGCCGGGGCGCCAAGUUCGUCCAGCGGUAAAAGGCCACAAAAACGGGUGGGCUAUAGCCUUGGGGGGUGGGGCUGGGUAACUUUGUUCGCAGGACUCGAAAUACCGCGAGACAUUGCGAGGGGCCUCCGUGUGCCAAAAAUAGGCCGCGGGCAAAGCCGCGCUAAAAAAAAACUGCCCGAAGGCCGGGGCACCAAGUUCGUCCAGCGGAAAAAGGCCACAAAAACGGGUGGGCUAUAGCCUUGGGGGGUGGGGCUGGCCAACUUCGUCCGCCGGACUCGGAAUGCCGGGAGACUUUGCGAGGGGCCUCCGUGUGCCAAAAAUAGGCCGCGGGCAAGGCCCCACCCAAAAAUAAGCACCCGAAGGCCGGUGCGCCAAGUUCGUCCAGCGGAAAAAGGCCACAAAAACGGGUGGGCUAUAGCCUUGGGGGGUGGGGCUGGCCAACAUCGUCCGCCGGACUCGGAAUGCCGGGAGACUUUGCGAGGGGCCUCCGUGUGCCAAAAAUAGGCCGCGGGCAAAGCCGCGCCCAAAAAUAACCACCCGAAGGCCGGGGCGCCAAGUUCGUCCAGCGGAAAAAGGCCACAAAAACGGGUGGGCUAUAGCCUUGGGGGGUGGGGCUGGCCAACUUCGUCCGCCGGACUCGGAAUGCCGCGAGACUUUGUGAGGGGCCUCCAUGUGCCAAGAAUAGGCCGCGGGCAAACCCGCGCCCAAAAAUAACCGCCCGAAGGCCGGGGCGCCAAGUUCGUCCAGCGGAAAAAGGCCACAAAAACGGGUGGGCUAUAGACUUGGGGGGUGGGGCUGGCCCACUUCGGCCGCCGGGCUAGGAAUGCUGCGAGGCUUUGCGAGGGGACUCCGUGUGCCAAAAAUAGGCCACGGGCAAAGCCGAGCCGAAAAAUAACUGCCGGAAGGCCGGGGCGCCAAGUUCGUCCAGCGGUAAAAGUCCACAAAAACGGGUGGGCUAUAGCCUUGGGGUUGGGGCUGGCCAACUUUGUCCGCCGGACUCGAAAUGCCGCGAGACAUUGCGAGGGGCCUCCGUGUGCCAAAUAUAGGCCGCGGGCAAAGCCCCGCCCAAAAAUAACCGCCCGAAGGCCGGGGCGCCAAGUUCAUCCAGCGGUAAAAGGCCUCAAAAACGGGUGGGCUAUAACCUUGGGGGGUGGGGCUGGCCGACUUCGUCCGCCGGACUCGAAAUGCCGCGAGACAUUGCGAGGGGCCUCCGUGUGCCAAAAAUAGGCCACGGGCAAAUCCUCGCCCAAAAAUAACUGCCCGAAGGCCGGGGCGCCAAGUUCGUCCAGCGGAAAAAGGCCACAAAAACGGGUGGGCUAUAGCCUUGGGGGGUGGGGCUGGCCAACUUCGUCCGCCGGACUCGAAAUGCCGCGAGACAUUGCAAGGGGCCUCCGUGUGCCAAAAAUAGGCCGUGGACAAAGCCGCGCCCAAAAAUAACCGCCCGAAGGCCGGGGCGCCAUGUUCGUCCAGCGGAAAAAGGCAACAAAAACGGGUGGGCUAUAGCCGUGGGGAGUGGGGCUGGCCUACUUCGUCCGCCGGACUUGGAAUGCCGCGAGACUUUGCGAGGGGCCUCCGUGUACCAAAAAUAGGCCGCGGACAAAGCCGCACCCAAAAAUAACCGCCCGAAGGCCGGGGCGCCAAGUUCGUCCAGCGGUAAAAGGCCACAAAAACGGGUGGGCUAUAGCCUUGGGGGGUGGGGCUGGCCAAGUUCGUCCGCCGGACUCGAAAUGCCGUGAGACAUUGCGAUGGGCCUCCAUGUGCCAAAAAUAGGCCGCGGGCAAAGGCGCGCCCAAAAAUAACCGCCCGAAGGCCGGGGCGCCAAGUUCGUCCAGCGGAAAAAGGCCACAAAAACGGGUGGGCUAUAGCCUUGGGGGGUGGGGCUGGCCAACUUCGUCCGCCGGACUCGGAAUGCCGCGAGACUUUGCGAGGGGCCUCCGUGUGCCAAAAAUAGGCCGCGGUCAAAGCCGCACCCAAAAAUAACCGCCCGAAGGCCGGGGCGCCAAGUUCGUCCAGCGGAAAAAGGCCACAAAAACGGGUGGGCUAUAGCCUU
rnacentral:lncRNA from 1 species